rnacentral:lncRNA from 12 species
AGCAUGAGCAGCAGCCAGCAGCAGAGGAGCAAGAAGAGGGAGAGGCUUAGCAUGUAGUCUUCCCUGCACCCCGCUCUCCCCGCACGCUCUCUUCUCCCCGGCUGGGAAGCAGAAGGCAGGCCCCCCGCUGGACCUUUCGCCUCCGGAGAGGCUGACCUCAGCCAGAUGUGGACACAGCCCUUCAUUAAUGCUUCCGGAUGAACGAAUGAAUGGUAGGUAAGCUGUGUCUUUGGCAGGAUGACGGCAACCCCAACCAAUUCCAAACUUCCUUCAGCAACAGGCAGGGGCGUUAAGAAAUGCAGGUGUUCUCCAGUUAGUUUUCCCUAAGGUGU